CCCCUCUCUCUGCAGCAGAGAGAGCUAUUCUUUCUUUCGCCUGUUAAUCUUCCACUCUUAACCUCACUUCGUGUGCCUGCGUCUUUGAUUUCCUUGGCGUGAGGCAAUAAACCUCAGUUCUUCUGUUAUAUAAACGAAAGAUUUCAACAGAAACUUAUGAAAGAAGACAGACCAAAAAACAUCCCUUAUUUGGAAGUUAAUGUGUGAUGCCAGUUCUGAGCGACUACAAUGGCUUUUAAAAUAACUUGCAUAAGCCCAGAAGUCUAUGUAACAACUUUAUGAAAUGAUCCGGGUUUUACCUCUUCUCCAUUCGGUCCAACCCAGCCUCUACGAAUCAGCCCACCAUAGUCUAGGUACCAGCCUCAGUUCUACUUACACUGUUGCUGAGACAGAGCCUAAGAGGGAACUCAGUUGGCAAUGGUUGCCAAGCCAACUCCAGCAGCUACUCGGGCAAGAAUUAAGAGUGAAGUCUAAGCCCAUGAAACCCAGGUGGGCAAAAGGUCAGGUGCAAUCCUACAUGAUAGAAGAAGAGAGCUAAGUUUGAAGAGUUGGGGGGUAGAUUUCAAUAUGGCCAGAGAUAAGAUCCAAUCCUAGCAACAGUCUACUACAUUUAGAGGGAUGGUGACUGGGGAAAGGGUAAAAAGCAACCAGCAUCCUCAAGGACUACCAUCAGACUUUAUUUAUUAUUACAAACGAAUGCCUCCAGUCAUGAUGGACCAAUGCAGGCAUCAGGUUAUCUGAAAGUGGUGCCAAAGUGUUCUUAUGCUAUUGCCCACAUUCUAUUCUUCUAAGUAGGAUAUAUCCAUAAAUAGCCUCUUCUGAAGAGUUAUAGAACUGUCACAUUGAGAAAAAUACCUGGAGGUCAUAAUAAGAAAGAUAUAAUUGAAUCUUUGUCUUUUGUGAGUAAACAUCCUGAUAUGGUGAACUGGAAAUGAUUAAUGCUUUUCUUCUUUCCUUGCCAAAAGACAGCCAUUUGCUUAAUUGAAUAGAAACAGAAAAGCCUUUUUUCCAUAAAUGGAAUGGAACUCAACUGGCUUUCAUAGGCAGAAAAAAAUGAAGCUCUCAUUAGAUUAUUUAUGGAAGUAAUCCAGCUUUGGAAUAAUAACAAUCUCCUAGUGGUUUUCCAUGGAACUAUGGCAAUAGGUAGUUACAUGCAAAUUCAAAGCUGGUUCAAGUGAAUCCUCUGAAGCAGGACUCCAUAGAGACCACAGAAAUAUGAGGAUGUAACAAAAGAUGAAUAUGUACAAGUAAAAACAAGAUGACAUAAAACAAAGCAAUGGAAAGGUUUUGAUGGGAGAAGUAGAUGCAAAAAGAAGAUUUCCCAUUUAUUUUUUGGUAGAAUAUGGAAACCCUAAGUCUGACUAUUCUGUUAUGAAGCUAGUAGCCUCUGUGCUGUCUUUCAGCCCUGCCUGCUUCCCUUUGCGGUCGUGUUUUGUUUUUACAUCCAUGAGAAUCUAAUUCAAAUAGACUUCUUGCACGCAACCCUUGUUUAUUUAGAUUAUUUUAAAAUCUGUGUCAAAGGAAUGAGUAAUUGAAUUAAUGUGUAACGUGAAUACUAUUCACCCUUUUUCCACCUUCUGCCUUCUGUCAGCUUAAUGUCCUCCCAUUCAUUUUUUGCUUUCCAGAAGUUGAGGGAAAUACCAAUCGUAUGUGGGGAAUUCUAUUUUGGUACAUAAUAAGGGAAUUUUCUUGAUUGUUCAUGUUCUGUGCACUGUAGGUUUUUUGGUGCUUUUUGUAUCUUCCAUAAUCAUUGAAAACUCCCCCAAAAAGCAUAGGUUAUUUUACUGUUACAUUUAUUAAUAAAAUCCAACAAACUUUUCUUUAUAAAUCCAUUUUUUUUCUAUCUUGUGUGAGUUUGGAAGCCACAAUAAUGUCAAUAUUGUCUUAACAUUAAAUCUUAGUCAAAGAGGACCAUGGCUCAUUUUUUAUGUAUGCAUAUUUGAUAUGGCUUUGUUGUUUUGGUAAACAAUUCAAACAGUACAGAAAAAUACAAAAGGAACAUAAUUGUCACCUGAAGUUCAGCACUCAGAUGUUUCCAAUGUUAGCAUUUCUCUGAACAUAUGCCCCAAUGUAUCUUCGUGCCUACAGACACAUAUGAAAAUGAA